GGCUUUAUAACUAGUGAGUUGGUUAAAGCGUCGCACCGGUAUCGCGAGGUCACGGGUUGAAACCCUGUUGAAGUCU
rnacentral:tRNA from 1 species